GGCGCUCCGAGCUGCUCUCCUAGGAUGUGCAAGAAGCGGCGACAGGCGGGGGGCGGAGGCGGGGGGCGGUCAGGGGGAGCUCGAGCGUGUGAAACUCUGCCUCGAAGCUCGCUUUUGACUUGGUCCUAUGAGCUGAGCCAACAUGGCGUCUCCCACUGCACCGCGAGCGCCGGGCUGCCAGGCACGGCAGGGCCGGGUAAUAGAAAACACAUUGGUUACCAAAAAGAAAAGGGGGGGGGGCGGCUAAAGGCCAUUCCAUCUGCAGGCAGAAAACCCUCUUUUAAACUCUAGCUGGCGAGUGAGUGCGGUCCUCGAUUAUUCUGUAAUUAAAGCAGCAGAAUUGGUAGGGAACAUAUUGGUAAUACAGUAUCCCCUUAUCUCUGCGCCCCCUCCCCCUUGUAAUAGGGAGAGUUUAUUUCAGGUCUCCUCUCCCAACAGGAACCAAAUUAGAAAAAGUCUGUAUUCUCCACAGAUCUUAAAUGUUUGAAUGGUAUAGGGGAGGGGGAGGCCAGUAUUUAACAGACCUCGGUCAGUUCUCGCGCUCAUUAAUGCAGGGGCCGUGCAGGGGGAGGGGGUGUGCCGGGACCACCCCCUACACACACCCGCCGAGCUGAGGGGUGGGGGCCGGGCUUCGAUCCCCGCCGGACGUGGGCACAACUUGCUGCUUGCGUGGCAAAGUUAGGGGAAAGGUGGCUUUGCGGGGGGCAGAGAGCUGACUGCCGGUGCGCAGGGGCCGAGGGCCGAUUCCGGGCUGGGGGUCGCAGGUCCUAGAAAUGUGUGAGGCGGCAUGGACGGCGCCCCUAAUAGGAGCGCUUCUACAUCGGGGGUCCCUUUUAAUAGGUUUGAGAGGAGGCGAGGUCUGCCAUGGAACAGACCUGACCUCCCAGAGAGGGUCUUCUGAGGGCCUCUGGGGAAACAGUGGUUUGGCCCUGGUCGAGCUCUCAGGCGCUGGGGGAAUGGCCCCUUACGGUCCAAUACGAGCUCUGGCCCAGGCCUGGAGACCCUUACCCUCAGCCGCCUGGGAGGGGAGCGAGUUUCUCUCUGAAUUCCGGGCCUCGUCGAGAUUUAUUGAAGUUAGGUUUAAAAAACGUGCUUCAGAUGAUUUUUCCCAUUUUCUCAGAUUUCAAAGGCUCCCUGCAGUGCGGCUGCCUAAUUAAUGGUGAAAUUCAACUAAAUCUAAUUAUGCAGUAAUUUUAAAGCAGUUAGUGCUGGGCGUUGGUUUGUAAUAGGACCCCAGUUUUUUAAAGUUUGCUUACUGUGUUGGUUUAGGGGAAAGCCAUCUUUUGUAUAGCAAAGAAAGACAGGGAAAUAGUUUUGCUGCGUGAACCAGAGGACUGAGAACUGCCCCCACCCUCCACAUUUCCAUCCUCACUUCUAUCUAUCUCCCUUUCUUUCUCUCUCUUUCUCUCCUGGGCUCCUGCUCAAAAUCUGAGCGAGGUGCUAACCCAGCAAGGAGACCUGGUUUCAUAGCCAAAGGGGAAAAGGGAGAAUUUUUCAUAAGGAGACACAAAGGGGCUUGGUAUCUGCCCUCCUGGAUGCAUCUGUAAAUGCCUGAAAACAGGGAAGGGGGACUCUCAUCUCCUCUAAUAGAGAACAGAUUUCCUCUCUUUAACAUCCAUUGUCAUUAAGGCGAAAAGCUGACUCUUGGAGUUAUAAAUCUUAUCAUCCUUCUGAUAACACACUUGUAAUAAGUUAGUGUCUUAUUCAAAGUGAAUUGUAAAACUGCCUCAUUUAAUAUGGCAUCUGUGUCGUUAAAACUUUUAAGUCCCCCCCACCUCCUUUGAGUCUUGUAGGCCUGGCAUGUGGGCAAGCGCUGAGGUGCCUACUGGGCCUCUGGGGUAGGACCAAGGGGGAAGGAGGUGUGAGAGAUGGGAUUCAGCUUCUGGAUCUUAGUCUGGGGUGAGAGACCCCUGAGGCAGAGAGGGCCUGGGGGGGGGUUUGCUGUAUCCCCCUUUCCCAUCCCCCUGAGAGGCCCCCUCGAAAUGACGUUCCUUGAAAGAAACAUGCUUGUGAUUAGCUAAGCAAACACAUCUGCUUUCGGAGUUGGGCCUUCGUUAAUUAGCUGAACAAAGGGCCGUUUUGCUUUUUACCUUUUGCUGGGGGAGAGUGUGUUAUUUCAGGAGUGUCGCGGGCCCUCCUCUUUUCAAUUGCAGCCACGACGUUAAUUUUAUUGGGAUUACUGAUGGGAAAUGAGGUGGCGCAGGCUUCCGAGAGGAAAAGCUUGAUCAUUACCCCCUUUGGAACUAUAUUUUUCCACCCAACCUCCUGUUCGCGAGGAGGGGGUGGGGGGCGAACUGCGCAGCAAGUUCGGAGCAAUUGGAAUCAGGCUCGCCGAAUGCUGAUAUCGGGUGACAGAGCGUGUGUUGAAGCUGAACUCUAUAAUUUGCGCUUCUGUUUCUUUAUUAGGCCUGGACAACGAACUAAUGAGCUUUGGCCCAGCACAGUGUCACCUGUAUUUAUUUUCUUAUGGCAACUUUGAGAUAGCGGAAGUGUUCCUUACCAGGAGCCAGGGAGGGCCGGGUGUCCUGACCGAGGCUGUCACCCGCCGGCCAGGGUUGGUGGCUGGGGCCCCGGGGAGCGAGGGCCCGGUGAGGGCGAGCGUAGAACUGAUGGAGCCAGAGGACUGGGCCUUUAGGUGAGGCCCUGGGGCACACAGGAAGGGGUUAGGCCCUUUGGAGGCCCAGGCAUUCCUGCAAGCCCAGCUCUCUGAGAUUGAGGUCGAGGGGCGAGGGGCAAGCCUAAGGCAGGUCCCCAGGCAGGGUGAUGGUCGGAGGUGCAAAGGUGGCUUGGCUUCCUCCAGGCCGGGGGAGGAGGAGGGAUCCAUCAGCAGAGCGUGUCGGGCCAAAGAACCCUUGGAGCGAACCGGGCUAUCCAGCCCCGUGGCCAAGGCGUCUGUCUGCUUUGUGUUGAGGGAGGCCUGGCUCAGCUCUCAGGCUGACUGCCUUGGGGUGGGUGGGGCAGAGAGGAUGCUCUAAAGGAGCUCUUAGGGUCCUGAAGUGUGGAGGCUCCCUUCCCUCUCUCCCUAGUUUGCUCCAAAGAGUCUCAGUUGGAGAGGCCUGGAAUAAAGUAAAGGAGGAGUUCCGGGUUGAGGGCUGAAAAGGGUCAGCAGAGGCAGCUGGAACAUCCCUUGUGCAGUGGCAGAGAAUGCAAGCCCCCAACACGGAGUGGAGAGUGCAGGGAAAGGGGAAGCCCAGGGAACUGAGAGAUGAGCGUGGACUCCUCGGCUCAGCAGCCCGAGACUUCCCGUAGCUCCCGCCUUGCUCCCCGGCAGGCAGCCCUGGCUAAUAACGCCCAGGCUCUGUGCCCCCACCCACUCCAUCUCUCCUUGCUCCAUCUCUCUGCCUUACUACCCCCUCCCCACCUCUUCCUUCCUUCCUGCAAAUGGGUGUUAACGUGGGUCUUUAUGUUCUGUCUAUAACUAGGAUGUAAUCACGCGCCCCAUGCCUCUCUCUAAAAGCAUUUAAUAAAUGUCUAUUAAAGCGCUACAAAUGUAAGAUGAAUUUAGUGGCGCGGCUGCCUCCCUGAAUCCGAACGGUAAUGAUGGAUUUAUCAAUGGGGAUUCGCCUUCAGCACAGCAAGGGAGGUUUACUCAGCAAAUACGUCGGCAAGCACCCACCCAAAUACAAUCAUUUGACCCCCCUGUGGGCGUUAGCCACCUCGCCCCUAUCGUCGCCCGCCUGAUGGCUAGAGUCACCGGGGGCCAGCGUGGGGCCGGGAGGACCUGGGGGGCACCGCCCCUCUCCUGGCCUCUAGCCCCCUCCUCCGUCUCCUUUCGGUCCGCAGGUUUCUCGCCUUUUGGCGAGCGUGGGGGACCUGGCUUGCAGGUUUGGAGGUGAGGAGUGGGUGAUGGCCGUACCGGAGCACACAACUAAUGUCACUUGGCUUUGCCGGGGACAUCCGUGGGGCGCCUCCGAGCCACUGUUGGCUUUUAAGAGGUGGCGAUUGUCCCUGAAUCUGCAAGUGGGCUCUGGAGUACCCAGGCUUUCACUAAAUCUUAGGCCGUUGGAUCCUCGCUGGGCCCCAGCCCAUCCCUGGGCACCAUUCUAGAAGAGGCCUCCGUCCCGGGCCCUCGGAGGGCCCCGACUGUGCCCAGAGAGGGUGCCUGCCCUCUCCAGGCUCCCCCAGAUGCCCCCAGGCCAAAGCAGAGGCGGCUGUUUUCCAGGGUUAGGGCGUUGUCCCCAAAGCAGGGGCAAAACUUUCACAUCUCCUUCCCUAAUAGAUCCGGUUUCUCUCCCACCUGCCCCGGCAAAGCCCACCCGGCCAUUUUAAAGUUUCUGUGGCUGUAGAUUUUCAGAAUUUGGUUUGGACUGUGAUCAUUAACGCGCACAAACCCCCGUGACUACCACCUUUCUUUUUGUCUUUUAUCUUUCUUUUCGAGGGGGAGGAAAGUGCUGGCCUGUUCCAUCAAGCCCAGUUCUCAUUUGCUUUGGCCUCUGAUUUCUCUUUCUUCUUUGGAAAUUUCAUUGAGAUGUCUCUGUACUUCGCUUGUCAGUUAUCUUUGUUCCUUUUAAAUAAAGGGCUUUUAAAUGGACUUAUUGCUCCCAGCGUGGGUUCCUCUCUCUAAAUGUUAGAAAAUUGUGCCAUCUACCCGCUAUGCUGAGUACUGUCACACUCGGAGACCUCGGGGACCUCCGGGCCGGCUUCAAUGCUGCCAUGUCAGGGGCCGCGGGCUGCAGGAGGAGGGGGCGGCUCACGUGGAUUUCUACAGAUCUCCGCCUGCAGCCGGCCGGCGUGGCCACGCCAGGGCACGGCCCGCAACGCGCGCAGCCGCCGGCUUGAUGGCGGCCGCGAACUUGGCUGCGGCUGAUCCCGGACCACAUCGCAGGCGUGGCUGGGACUCUUCCCUUCUCAGAAACGCCCGGGGCCGGGAGGGAGGGCGCGGGGGCUGCUUCUAGACCCGAACAGCCGCUGGGGGUCUGGGAUAACCGCGGACAAUGGUGGGGGAAGGUUGCCUGGGAGGGGCACGGGGGGGGAUUUGGCCGCGCAGCCUUGGAGCGCUCUUGCCCGCCUCCAGCCUCCAGCCCCCCUCUCUCCCUCGGGGAAGCUGAGCUGAGUGAGGCCUGCGAAGAGCCACGGCCGCCGACUGGCUUCCCAGACUUGGAGGGAGGAGAGCCCGGGCCAGGCAGCUCAGAUGCAACUUUCAGCUCUGUUCUCGGCUAGAGAUCAUUCUGGUGUCCUGUGGAAGGCCACACUUGCUUUGCUUCCUAAAGCGUGUGGUGUAGGUGCACCGCGUUUGAACAAGUCAGAUGUCUGAAGUGGGGUCUCCUUACCCCGACCCCGCCUCUGCCUCUGCCAAACAACCCACCUGCAACCGCAGGUUCUUUUUGAAUGAGUUAAAAUGGAUUAACAGUUUAGAUUUUAUUAUGUGGCUACCCCUCUCUGAUGCUUUUUUUUUUUAACCCAUUAAAAGUAUUAGCUGAGAUUUCCAAAUGUCCAUUGGGUAUUUAUGCUGGGGGGGGGAUCUCCGAUACGGUUUAUGACUUUUAUUACAUGUUUCACACUGUUCGAGAAAUGGAGUUUUAAGCAACAUACAAUUAAAUCUAUAUUGCUCUUUGGAGAAGGGCCAAGCAACUCGGCAAUCAAUUAGUUUAGAUCUUUUGAUACUUGUUGCUAAAAUCAAAGUGUAAAACUGCAACCCUUAUGUAGAGCUGCUUCCCCAUUUUAUCUAAGGUCGUGGAGCUACCACAGAGGAAAUGACAGUUGCUUUUUUCUGCCCCAGGAUGUUUUUCCUGUACAGAUUAGUCUUUUCAAAAUACCAGACUAUUUUCUAUACUCCCUGUCCAUUUCUCUCUUACUGUGAUCUCUCAUCCCCUGCCUUUAUCAGCCAGAUUUAAUUUUUAAAAAUUUACUUUUAAUUUCUGUUAUUUGAAAAUGAAUUUUCUAUUCACCCUCUCUCUCUCAUCUCCCUCCUCUCUUUGCUUGAUUCUAAGAAGGGAAGCCGAGUUGUUUAAUAACCGCACUAAUACAGUGGUUUCCAGACAAAGGCAAAAUUAUAUUCUUUGUAACCACAAUAGGAUGGGGAUGGGGGUUUAAAUUCUCAUUCUCUCAUUCCCUCCCUCUCUCCUUCCCUCUCUCUCUCUUACACACGCACCUCUGUCCCUUCAAAUAAGUGGUUUAGGAAAUAAUCUGCAUUGAACAGAAAGUGCUUCCUCCUUGAAAAUGUCACCAUUCCCAUCUCCCUGGCUCUUGCUGGGCCAGUCCCUUCUACUGCCUGGUGGCAGUCUGUCCUGAAGUCUGUCUGUCCUUGGCCAUGGCAGGAGCUGGGGGGUGCCUAUGGAGACCCAGAACAUCAUGAGAAAGUGGUGGGGUCCAGCUAGGCUGUUCUGGGCAGCUGAGACAGGGCUGAUAGCAAGUUCCAAAGAAAGGCUUGCUGACAGUAUUAGAUAAUUCUUCCUUCCCCUCAGCAUCUUCUCCCUACAGCCACUCAGGUUCUUGAAAGGAGGGGGAGGGGUUCAGGACUGUGCAUCUAUCCCCUCAUUUCUUUCCAGGCUGGGCUGCUCCUUCACCAGCUUCAUCACUGGUUUAAAAACUCUGCGGCUUUGGGACUGAGCAGGUCAGUCAUUGAACUGUCAUCUCCACCAGGAUGGACCAUCUAGAACCUCCUCUGUUC
rnacentral:lncRNA from 1 species